GGUUUUUAGAUUUUAUUAAAAAUCAAGCCUGCUCAAUGCUAAGUAAAUAGCCGCAGAAUUUUAACUGUGCAAAGGUAGCAUAAUCACUUGUCUUUUAAUUGAGGACUAGAAUGAAAGGUUUAACUAUGUAAUUUUGUCUUAUAAUAAUAUUUUGAACUUAAUUUUUUAGUAAAAAAGCUAAAAUUCAUCUUAAAGACGAGAAGACCCUAUUAAGCUUUACAAUUCAAUAUUAUUUUCAAACUAAUUAAAAAAUUGUUCUGCUGGGGCAGCAAAUAAAAAAAUAUUGUUUACAUAUUGUGAUAAAUAAAUCUAGAAAAAUCAAUAAUUUGUUAAAAAAUAAUAAGUUACUAUAGGGAUAACAGCAUAAUUUUUUUAAAGAGUUCUCAUCAACAAAAAAGUUUGUGACCUCGAUGUUGGAUUAAGAAUCCUAUUUUACGCAGUAGUAAAAAAAGGGAGUCUGUUCGACUUUUAAAUUCUUCCA
rnacentral:rRNA from 1 species